rnacentral:rRNA from 1 species
GACGAACGCUGGCGGCGUGCUUAACACAUGCAAGUCAAGCGGUAAGGCCCUUUCGGGGGUACGACGAGCGGCGAACGGGUGAGUAACACGUGGGUGACCUGCCCUCAGCUCUGGGAUAAGCCUGGGAAACUGGGUCUAAUACUGGAUAUGACUCCACGGUGCAUGUCGUGGGGUGGAAAGCCUUGUGCGGCUGAGGAUGGGCCCGCGGCCUAUCAGCUUGUUGGUGGGGUGANGGCCUACCAAGGCGACGACGGGUAGCCGGCCUGAGAGGGCGACCGGCCACACUGGGACUGAGACACGGCCCAGACUCCUACGGGAGGCAGCAGUGGGGAAUCUUGCGCAAUGGGCGAAAGCCUGACGCAGCGACGCCGCGUGAGGGAUGACGGCCU